CCUACGGGGGGCUGCAGUGGGGAAUAUUGGACAAUGGGGGGAACCCUGAUCCAGCCAUGCCGCGUGUGUGAAGAAGGCCCUCGGGUUGUAAAGCACUUUCAGUGAGGAAGAACGCCUGGUGGUUAAUACCCAUCAGGAAAGACAUCACUCACAGAAGAAGCACCGGCUAACUCCGUGCCAGCAGCCGCGGUAAUACGGAGGGUGCGAGCGUUAAUCGGAAUUACUGGGCGUAAAGCGCGCGUAGGUGGCUUGAUAAGCCGGUUGUGAAAGCCCCGGGCUCAACCUGGGAACGGCAUCCGGAACUGUCAAGCUAGAGUGCGGGAGAGGAAGGUAGAAUUCCCGGUGUAGCGGUGAAAUGCGUAGAGAUCGGGAGGAAUACCAGUGGCGAAGGCGGCCUUCUGGACUGACACUGACACUGAGGUGCGAAAGCAUGGGUAGCAAACAGGAUUAGAUACCCUAGUAGUC
rnacentral:rRNA from 1 species